UACGUAGGGUGCAAGCGUUGUCCGGAAUUAUUGGGCGUAAAGAGCUCGUAGGCGGUUUGUCGCGUCUGCUGUGAAAACCCGAGGCUUAACCUCGGGUCUGCAGUCGAUACGGGCUAGCUAGAGUGUGGUAGGGGAGAUCGGAAUUCCUGGUGUAGCGGUGAAAUGCGCAGAUAUCAGGAGGAACACCGGUGGCGAAGGCGGAUCUCUGGGCCAUUACUGACGCUGAGGAGCGAAAGCGUGGGGAGCGAACAGG
rnacentral:rRNA from 1 species